CCUACGGGGGGCAGCAGUGGGGAAUAUUGGACAAUGGGGGCAACCCUGAUCCAGCCAUGCCGCGUGUGUGAAGAAGGCCCUCGGGUUGUAAAGCACUUUCAGUGAGGAAGAACGCCUGGUGGUUAAUACCCAUCAGGAAAGACAUCACUCACAGAAGAAGCACCGGCUAACUCCGUGCCAGCAGCCGCGGUAAUACGGAGGGUGCGAGCGUUAAUCGGAAUUACUGGGCGUAAAGCGCGCGUAGGUGGCUUGAUAAGCCGGUUGUGAAAGCCCCGGGCUCAACCUGGGAACGGCAUCCGGAACUGUCAAGCUAGAGUGCAGGAGAGGAAGGUAGAAUUCCCGGUGUAGCGGUGAAAUGCGUAGAGAUCAGGAGGAAUACCAGUGGCGAAGGCGGCCUUCUGGACUGACACUGACACUGAGGUGCGAAAGCGUGGGUAGCAAACAGGAUUAGAUACCCCUGUAGUC
rnacentral:rRNA from 1 species